rnacentral:rRNA from 1 species
GAUGAACGCUGGCGGCGUGCCUAAUACAUGCAAGUCGAGCGAACAGACGAGGAGCUUGCUCCUCUGACGUUAGCGGCGGACGGGUGAGUAACACGUGGAUAACCUAUCUAUAAGACUGGGAUAACUUCGGGAAACCGGAGCUAAUACCGGAUAACAUGUUGAACCGCAUGGUUCAACAGUGAAAGACGGUCUUGCUGUCACUUAUAGAUGGAUCCGCGCCGCAUUAACUAGUUGGUAAGGUAACGGCUUACCAAGGCUACGAUGCGUAGCCGACCUGAGAGGGUGAUCCGCCACACUGGCACUGAGACACGGUCCAGACUCCUACGGGAGGCAGCAGUCGGGCAUGUUCCGCAAUGGGCGAAAGCCUGACGGAGCAACGCCGCGUGAGUGAAGAAGGUCUUCGGAUCGUAGAACUCUGUUAUUAGGGAAGAACAAAUGUGUAAGUAACUAUGCACGUCUUGACGGUACCUAAUCAGAAAGCCACGGCUAACUACGUG